GCCUUCUUCAUGUAUCUCCUCUCGGAGCAUCAUUCCCUGACCUUCCUUUCUAGGGCUCUGAAUCCACCCCAUUGCUGUCUAUCCAGUCAGUCUCUCUUUUCUAGCUGGCAUCCAUCACAAGCAAUCUGCUUAUCUUGUUUUUGUCUAUCUUUGUUGAGUUUUGGUAUUGAUUUUAUGUGUCAGUACCUGAGAAGGAGAGAAGUCCUUGAGUUGUUUCGUAAAUGUGGCUCAAGUGAGAUGCUGAACAGUGCCAGCCAUGUGGACUCUGCCACAGUGAAGGAGGAAGGCAGCACUGAGAAGUGAAGGAAUAUUUGGGAGGAUCAGAAGCUUGGUCCUGAUUUUGCCAUCAACAGGAACUUGAUGACUUCAAGGGAGUCCCCAAACCCUGGGUUUCUGUUUUCUCAACUCUAACAUGAGGGGCUAGAUGCAUCUGGUUUAGUUAGUCUCCAUGAUGGUUUAGUUCGUCUCCAUGAUCCUGUGAAUUUCAGAUGUUGAAAAUCUUUGGAAAAGCCCUGAAAGAUGAACAGUGGUCUCAAAUAGUCAAGACCCCCUGCUGGGAGGAGCUAUCCUGCUCUUUGGAAGAAAUGGGCAUGCCAGAUGCCUG
rnacentral:antisense_RNA from 1 species